CCUCCUGGCAAUGGUCAAAGAGACACCUUGUUAGUAAUGUUGUCUUAAAUCAGUCAAGGACAGAGCAGAUGGCAGUCCUUUGUUCAUGCUAGCUUGAUGUCCAGCUUGGUGGCCAACGCUAUUUUAUGCCUGGGACACAUAA